AUGCGGCCGCUUCUGAUCAGGACUCAAGGCGCUAGAUUUUGUUUCAAUAAAGAUUGCUUCUUCAUUCCACCCGCCUUGCCUCCGCAGACUACUUUCAUGAGCAAACUACACGCCGACACCGAAAGAAAGAGAGCCCAGAAACCACAGAUGGCGUCACGAACAGGAUCGCUUUUGACAACUUGGACACACGACAGGGGUCCAGAAACUGACUUUCACCCCAGCCGCCAAACAAGGACAACAAGGGAGAUAUUAACCUGUCCAGGGACAGGACAGGACUGAGAGAGAAACCAUCGAUUCGGAGUGUUACGGACAACAUGACGCUCUAGAUGGCAAUGCUGCUGAAGAGUGAGAAUUUAGUUGAUUUGUUAUGUUAUAUAGAAUUGGACAAAUUCUGUUUUCAUAUAUAUGUAUAUCCAUAUGUCAUGAUGUGAAAAUUGUUGUGUUUUAUUGUAACCAUGUGAUAAUUGCAAAUGAACCAAGGAAUGAGCAAUAAUCUUAAAUAUCAUAAUAUUUUAAUUAGGUUUUAAUCUUUAUAUCGUCACACAGCGAUGUACAAUUUUCAUUAAUAGUUGAAAAUAGGACCUGUGAAAGGUUUGGAGUUAAAUGGCCGAUUGGCAUAUGGUCAUUCAAUUAAUCGAUAAAUGGUAAUUGGUAAUUAUUAAAGGAGUAUCCCCGCCUGGAUUGGCUUGACGGCGUGGAUUCUCUAUAAUUGAUUAGUAAGGUUUCCUAUUUCUUUUUAAUACUCCUUAGGAGGGGUAGAGUUUUGGAAUAGGAUGCAACAGCUGAUUUGUGGGAUUCCUCUACAACUACACCUGAGAAGCCAUAAGUAAAGAUUUCGAGAAUAAAACGUUCCUUUCAGAGUUUUCUGGAAAGGAGUGUACCUGAGGGGAGUCCUGCAAGAGGCUAAGGGUAGUUGAAUUUGACCUAAUUAGGAUAAAUAAUUAGUUAUCUAGUCAUAAAGUAACUUAAAAUAAUGUGCUAUAGGACCUAAUAAGAAAUUAAUUAACUAGCUUUCCAUAAAUUUCCGUUAAAAAAAUAGGACUCUGAACUAAGUAACAAGAUUGGAUGAAGAACCCUUUGUUGAAAACAGACAAGCUCGGCGCCAGGAAGUCGGAUAAGGAUAAAAAUCAUUGUGAAUGUGUUUGUACGAUUUUUUCGAGACCCAGCAGGUCUCGAAGGGGGGAAUAUGUGGUGUCUGGAUGGCAACACAUUCUGAUUUUUGAAUUUACUUAGUGUAGGUUAAAUGAUGAUUAAUUGUUUCAAAAGAGCAAAAGGCUGAGGUUUUGAGGAAGCAGAGGGCAUUGCAUUUUUUGCCAUUGUUUUGUCCACAGAUUUGAUAAUAUCAGAAUGCGGCCGCUUCUGAUCAGGACUCAAGGCACUAGAUUUUGUUUCAAUAAAGAUUGCUUCUUCAUUCCACCCGCCUUGCCUCCGCAGACUCCUUUUAUGAUCAAACUACACGCUGACACCGAAAGAAAGAGAGCCCAGAAACCACACUCUGAAUAAUUUUAUCAGUAUGGUAUAUCAAUACUGCUACCAG
rnacentral:lncRNA from 1 species